rnacentral:lncRNA from 1 species
AUGGAUCUUUUUAUCCUGUCCUUAUGAUAUUCAGAUUUUUCAAAAAUAUUCAUUAGUACUGCAGCCAAGACCAGGGCAGACAACAUUGGAUUGAAGAAAUGGCUACUGGCACUAAUUAUUUAAAAACCAAUGGAUAACUUAGAUAAAAGCAGCCCCUCUGAUGAGCAUAUGGACUCAGAAGUUCUGCUGACCUGUGGCUGGCCUAUCCGGCACCAUUGAUUUAAUGCAGAGGUGAUUUUCUGGAGAGCUGGAAAGUACCUCACCUCUAAAGCAUGUUACAGGACCUCUCAAUGUAGACUAUACUAGAAGCUAGCUUCCCAAUCACAAAGAUCUUUCUGCCUGUGUCUCCCAAGUACAUGAAUUAAAGGCACGUGCAACCAUGUCCAGCACGAACAGUUUUACUAUUAUUUAUUAUAAUUUAUUAUUAUUUACUAUGUCCAGUUUUGCUAUUAAUUACUGACUGCCAUUGUUAACUGGUACUAUCCUUGAUCUGUUUAAUACUA